AUAUUGCACAAUGGGCGCAAGCCUGAUGCAGCAACGCCGCGUGCAGGAUGAAGGGUUUCGGCUCGUAAACUGCUUUUCUGGGGGACGAGGAUGACGGUACCCCAGGAAGAAGUCCCGGCUAACUACGUGCCAGCAGCCGCGGUAAAACGUAGGAGGCAAGCGUUAUUCGGAUUUACUGGGCGUAAAGGGCGUGCAGGUGGUCUGUUAAGUGGUGCGUGAAAGCGCUCGGCUCAACCGGGCGAGGCCGUGCCAAACUGGGAGACUAGAAACAGGCAGAGGAAAGUGGAAUUCGGGGUGUAGUGGUGAAAUGCGUAGAGAUCUCGAGGAACUCCAGUGGCGAAGGCGACUUUCUGGGCCUGCUUUGACACUCAGACGCGAAAGCAUGGGGAGCGAACGGG
rnacentral:rRNA from 1 species